rnacentral:misc_RNA from 1 species
AAGUCGUAACAAGGUUUCCGCAGGUGAACCUGCGGAAGGAUCAUUACAGAGAACAUCGCCCUCGACGGGUCGACUCUUCCAACCCUAUCGUUUAUUGUUACCUUUGUUGCUUUGGCCGAGCCGCUUCGGCCACCGGCUCACGCUGGUGAGUGCUCGCCAGAGGACCCCAAACCCUGAAUUAUUAGUGUCGUCUGAGUACUAUAUAAUAGUUAAAA